GAUGAAGAACGCAGCGAAAUGCGAUAAGUAGUGUGAAUUGCAGAAUUCAGUGAAUCAUCGAAUCUUUGAACGCACAUUGCGCCCUUUGGUAUUCCUUAGGGCAUGCCUGUUCGAGCGUCAUUUAAACCUUCAAGCUAAGCUUGGUGUUGGGUGACUGUCCGCUUCACGGCGGACUCGCCUCAAAAUUAUUGGCGGCCGGUACAUUGGCUUCGAGCGCAGCAGAAACGCGAACUCGGGCCCGUCGUAUUGGCUCCCAGAAGCUAUCUUCACAAUUUUGACCUCGGAUCAGGUAUGGAUACCCGCUGAACUUAAGCAUAUCAAUAAGCGGAGGA
rnacentral:misc_RNA from 1 species